rnacentral:rRNA from 1 species
AAUGAUGAAUGUCAUAGAUUAGACAUAUAAUAGUUUAUUCUAUAAAUGAAAGUGUAAGCAUUCCACCUCAAGAGUAAUUUGGCAACAUUGGAACUGAAAUCAUUAGACCGUUUCUGAAACCAGUAGUGAAGUAUGUUGUUUAAUUUGAUAAUCCACAAAAAACCUUACCACAAUUUGAAUAUUUAUAUUAUUUUUAUAUCUAUUAUAUUUUAGAAAAAUAAUACAUUUACAAGCGUUGCACGGCUGUCUUCAGUUAAUGUCGUGAGACUUUGGUUAGUUCCAUUAAAUUAACGUAAACCCUCACUUUAUUUUUAUAUAAAGUAGUUCCCCACUAGAUUGGAUAAGAUAACAGGGACUAAGACAAGUCAUCAUGGCCUGAAUAUUGU